UACGGAGGGUGCUAGCGUUGUUCGGAAUUACUGGGCGUAAAGCGCGCGUAGGCGGCUUUGUAAGUUAGAGGUGAAAGCCCGGAGCUCAACUCCGGAACUGCCUUUAAGACUGCAUCGCUUGAAUCCAGGAGAGGUGAGUGGAAUUCCGAGUGUAGAGGUGAAAUUCGUAGAUAUUCAGAAGAACACCAGUGGCGAAGGCGGCUCACUGGACUGGUAUUGACGCUGAGGUGCGAAAGCGUGGGGAGCAAACAGG
rnacentral:rRNA from 1 species